UCCGGAGGGGGCUAGCGUUGUUCGGAAUUACUGGGCGUAAAGCGCGCGUAGGCGGCUUUGUAAGUUAGAGGUGAAAGCCCAGGGCUUAACCCUGGAAUUGCCUUUAAGACUGCAUCGCUAGAAUUGUGGAGAGGUAAGUGGAAUUCCGAGUGUAGAGGUGAAAUUCGUAGAUAUUCGGAAGAACACCAGUGGCGAAGGCGACUUACUGGACACAUAUUGACGCUGAGGUGCGAAAGCGUGGGGAGCAAACAGG
rnacentral:rRNA from 1 species